AUCCUGAGUACGACGGAGCACGUGAAAUUCCGUCGGAAUCUGGGAGGACCAUCUCCUAAGGCUAAAUACUCUCUAGUGACCGAUAGUGAACCAGUACCGUGAGGGAAAGGUGAAAAGCACCCCGGAAGGGGAGUGAAAUAGAACCUGAAACCGUGUGCUUACAAGUAGUCAGAGCCCGUUAAUGGGUGAUGGCGUGCCUUUUGUAGAAUGAACCGGCGAGUUACGAUUUGAUGCAAGGUUAAGCAGUAAAUGUGGAGCCGUAGCGAAAGCGAGUCUGAAUAGGGCGUUUAGUAUUUGGUCGUAGACCCGAAACCAGGUGAUCUACCCUUGGUCAGGUUGAAGUUCAGGUAACACUGAAUGGAGGACCGAACCGACUUACGUUGAAAAGUGAGCGGAUGAACUGAGGGUAGCGGAGAAAUUCCAAUCGAACCUGGAGAUAGCUGGUUCUCUCCGAAAUAGCUUUAGGGCUAGCCUCAAGUGAUGAUUAUUGGAGGUAGAGCACUGUUUGGACGAGGGGCCCCUCUCGGGUUACCGAAUUCAGACAAACUCCGAAUGCCAAUUAAUUUAACUUGGGAGUCAGAACAUGGGUGAUAAGGUCCGUGUUCGAAAGGGAAACAGCCCAGACCACCAGCUAAGGUCCCAAAAUAUAUGUUAAGUGGAAAAGGAUGUGGCGUUGCCCAGACAACUAGGAUGUUGGCUUAGAAGCAGCCAUCAUUUAAAGAGUGCGUAAUAGCUCACUAGUCGAGUGACACUGCGCCGAAAAUGUACCGGGGCUAAACAUAUUACCGAAGCUGUGGAUUGUCCUUUGGACAAUGGUAGGAGAGCGUUCUAAGGGCGUUGAAGCAUGAUCG
rnacentral:rRNA from 1 species